rnacentral:rRNA from 2 species
GACGAACGCUGGCGGCGUGCCUAACACAUGCAAGUCGAGCGGGGUGGUUCUGAAGGGCAACCGGAGGGAUCACCUAGCGGCGAACGGGUGAGUAACGCGUGGAUAACCUACCUCAAGGUCUGGGAUAACAGCUCGAAAGGGCUGCUAAUACCGGAUGUGGUGCAUAUGCUGCAUGGUAGAUGCACUAAAGGGGAAACCCGCCAUGAGAUGGGUCCGCGUCCCAUCAGCUAGUUGGUGGGGUAAAGGCCUACCAAGGCGACGACGGGUAGCCGGCCUGAGAGGGUGACCGGCCACACUGGGACUGAGACACGGCCCAGACUCCUACGGGGGGCAGCAGUGGGGAAUAUUGCACAAUGGGCGAAAGCCUGAUGCAGCGACGCCGCGUGGGCGAAGAAGGCCUUCGGGUUGUAAAGCCCUGUCUGGAGGGACGAAGUAAUGACGGUACCUCCGGAGGAAGCCACGGCUAACUACGUG